GAAAAGCCACUGUACGAGGAACUGCCACUGCCCUGGUGGCCACGCUGCAGCCUCCAGUAAUUCCUCACAUGCCAGAAGUCCCAAGAGUACCUCCAGCUUCUAAAAUGCAGGAAAAGAGAAAAUAAAUGAGAUUUGCUGGAUAACUGAAUAUCAAACUUCACAUUAGGGACAGACACAAUGGAUCGAAGCACAACACAGGUCUCUGAUGCAAAAGGUGUCUGCCAAAG